GUGAAUCAUCGAAUCUUUGAACGCAAAUUGCACUCUCUGGUAUUCCGGAGAGUAUGCCUGUUUGAGGGUCAGUUUAAAUAAAAAUCGGUGUGGUUGCUGCCCUUCGUGGUGACGCACCGUAUUUGGGUCGUCUUGCCUUCGGUUAAGUGACUUAAAAUUUUGCAUGAUUUUUUUCUAUCGUAUUUAAAUAAUUUUACUUACUUUUUCUAUUCCGAAUACUAGGUUUUUUCUUCCU
rnacentral:misc_RNA from 1 species